ACUUCUGUCCAGUCAUUGAGAAAUGAGGGCAGCCGGGUGAGAACCACGCGGAGAUGAGAUUCCUAUGA
rnacentral:ncRNA from 1 species